UUCUUUAAAAAAGCGUUUUUGUUAAGGAGUCUGGGAAUCAUGGAAUCAUAGUGACCAACUGUUAUGGACUGGAUUGUAUCCCCCUCCAAUUCAGUUAUGGUGCUGCUUCAGAAAGAAAAGAGAUAGUUUCCCUUGCAAAGUUAUCAAAGUGCUCCCCAGAAGACAUUAGGUAUUUGCUUUCUAGUCUGCAUACAAUGAAAAGGAAAAAACGUCAGUUCCUGAAGCUCUCUCAAAGCAUCAACAGAUGGAAAGACGUGCCCAUGUCCUCCCCUCCCUCCACUCUGGGGGCUUGGAAAUGCUGCAGCAGGGAGCAGGCCCCAGGCUGGACCUGCCCUGUCCUCACGACAAGUGUGUGCAAAAGUGAACAAUAAAUCAUUUCAAAGAUGCAAGGAAGAAAAACCAAAACAUCAACAGAAUCUUCUUUCCCAUAAUCUUCAUGCACCUCCUGGUCCGGAUGAGUUUAUAUUACCAUCUCUGAGCACAGGGAUUGAUUGUGAUGGCAUUUAUAGGACUGAGCGCCCCACACUCUGUGAUCCAGCAUGGAGUUAUGAUUUACAUCACCACAGGAAGAGUACAGAGGCUUCAACAGAAAAAAAGCAAAAACAACAGACCUUCAUUCAGCUUAGGAACAUAAUAAAUAGGAUGAAGUUGAAUAAACGAAAUGGAGGGGAGUGAAGUAUUCCAGAUGGAAGAGGCAGUACGUGGCCAAGAGGAAACAGACCAUGUGCGCUGGAGAAAAAGGAUGGCCAGACUUGCAGAAACCUGGAAUUGGUGAUUGGCUUUAGAAGUGGAGAGACAAAAAAGGAGGCAUAGAAAGUGCCAACAUUUGGCUACACAGGGAAGAAAGACGUAAAAUAAUAAAAACAUUGGCAUCACCUGUAGACUCAAAUCCUGUGAGUGAAGGACCUGAGCAAUGAAGGAUGGAUUGAACUCGUGAUUAGCCUUCUUCAGCAUAUGUAAAAUGAUGUCUGCUUUUCUUCUCUAUUUGUCAUUUUACCGACUUUUUAUAUAGUUUCCCCAUAUCCAUGGAGGAUGUAUCCCAAGACCCCCAGAGGAUGCUUGAAACCACAGAUAAUAACAAACUCUUAUGUAUCCUAUGAUUUUUCCUGUACAUCCUUACCUAUCAUAAAGUGAGUGUAUAAAUUAGGCACAGGAGAUUAAAAACAAUAACUCAUAAUAAAAUAGAACAAUUAGUACAACCUAAUGAAA
rnacentral:antisense_RNA from 1 species